rnacentral:lncRNA from 1 species
CCAACAGAUAUUUACUGAGUUCCCAUCAUGCACCAGGCCCUCCUUGUGGACUAGGUAGGCAUCCAACAACAAACAGGACCAGCAAUUGAUGCUGCCUCCACGGCUCUUACCACUCUCACGGGAGACACAGAAACUGAGCGCAUUACCCAGGAACCGGCAAAUAAAAUGACUAAACAAAGCGAGCAGCCACUGAUCUUCAAAGAUGAACAUCAAAGAAAACACUAGAAGAUUUUGUCCUCCACGCCCCGCCCCCCAGGGGUGGAUGAGGUUGCAUCAGUUCACACUAACAACGGCUUUGUAAACCCAAAUGCUGACAAAGGGGAGCGGAAGAACGAGACAAGAAAGUAAUUAGAAAAAGAUAGAAAAACCAUCUGGCAAACUUUUAUAGAGAAAACACGAGGAAGGCAACGAUCCCACAGAUCCCAGUUUGUAAACUCCGACGAUGCUUUGUGAGCGAGCAACCUACAAAGAGGCUAUGGCAUAAGGGAAGGCGAGCAGAAAGCGUAAUGGUGAGACCCUGAAGUGCGUUCAAAGCAGAAGCCAUUAAAGAUGAGAAGGAGACCACUUAAAAUGGGCAAAAUGUGGCCUGUGAAGAACAUUUAAUGGGAGUAAGGUCUUACGUGUCAACCCAGAAAUGCACGUGUACACAGCAAAAAGUUUCCGUAUUUAUAAAUAUUUAAAAC